rnacentral:lncRNA from 1 species
UGCAGAUUCUACAAAAAGAGAGUUUCAAAACUUCUCAAUCAAAAGAAAGGGUUAACUCUGUGAGAUGAAUGCACACAUCACGAAGAAGUUUCUCAGAUUGCUUCUUUCUAAAUUUGAUGUGUAGAUAUUCCGUUUUUACCAUUCGCUGCAAAGCGCACCAAAUGUUCAUUUGCAGAUUCUAGAAAAAGAGUUUUUCCAAACUGCUCAAUCAAAAGAAAGGUUCAACUCUGUGAGAUUAACACACACAUCACAAAGAAGUUUCCCAGAAUUCUUCUGUCUAGUUUUUAUGUGAAGAUAUUUCCUUUUCCACCACAGGUCUCAAAGUGCUCCAAAUGUCCACUUGCAAAUUCUAUGAAAAGAGAUUUUCAAAACUGCUCAACCAAAAGAAAGGUUUAACUCCGUUAGAUGAAUGCACACAUCACAAAGGAGUUUCUCAGAUUGCUUCUGUCUAGAUUUUAUGUGAAGAUAUUUCCUUUUCUAACAUAGGCCACAAAGCGUUCCAAAAGUCCACUUGCAGAUUCUACAAAAAGAGUGUUUCCAAGCUGCUCAAUCAAAAGAAAGUUUCAAUUCUGUGAGAUGAUCGCACACAUCACAAAGAAGUUUCUCAGAAUUCUUCUGUCUAGUUUUUAUGUGAAGAUAUUUCGUUUUUCACCAUAGGGCUCAAAGUGCUCCAAAUGGCCACUUGCAGAUUUUACAAAGAGAGAGUUUCAAAACUCCUCAAUCAAAAGAAAGGUUUAACUCUCUUAGAUGAAUGCACACAUCACUAGGAAGUUUCUC